rnacentral:rRNA from 1 species
AAAUUGAAGAGUUUGAUCAUGGCUCAGAUUGAACGCUGGCGGCAGGCCUAACACAUGCAAGUCGAGCGGUAGCACAGAGAGCUUGCUCUCGGGUGACGAGCGGCGGACGGGUGAGUAAUGUCUGGGAAACUGCCUGAUGGAGGGGGAUAACUACUGGAAACGGUAGCUAAUACCGCAUAACGUCGCAAGACCAAAGUGGGGGACCUUCAGGCCUCAUGCCAUCAGAUGUGCCCAGAUGGGAUUAGCUAGUAGGUGGGGUAAUGGCUCACCUAGGCGACGAUCCCUAGCUGGUCUGAGAGGAUGACCAGCCACACUGGAACUGAGACACGGUCCAGACUCCUACGGGAGGCAGCAGUGGGGAAUAUUGCACAAUGGGCGCAAGCCUGAUGCAGCCAUGCCGCGUGUAUGAAGAAGGCCUUCGGGUUGUAAAGUACUUUCAGCGAGGAGGAAGGCAUUAAGGUUAAUAACCUUGGUGAUUGACGUUACUCGCAGAAGAAGCACCGGCUAACUCCGUGCCAGCAGCCGCGGUAAUACGGAGGGUGCAAGCGUUAAUCGGAAUUACUGGGCGUAAAGCGCACGCAGGCGGUCUGUCAAGUCGGAUGUGAAAUCCCCGGGCUCAACCUGGGAACUGCAUUCGAAACUGGCAGGCUAGAGUCUUGUAGAGGGGGGUAGAAUUCCAGGUGUAGCGGUGAAAUGCGUAGAGAUCUGGAGGAAUACCGGUGGCGAAGGCGGCCCCCUGGACAAAGACUGACGCUCAGGUGCGAAAGCGUGGGGAGCAAACAGGAUUAGAUACCCUGGUAGUCCACGCCGUAAACGAUGUCGACUUGGAGGUUGUGCCCUUGAGGCGUGGCUUCCGGAGCUAACGCGUUAAGUCGACCGCCUGGGGAGUACGGCCGCAAGGUUAAAACUCAAAUGAAUUGACGGGGGCCCGCACAAGCGGUGGAGCAUGUGGUUUAAUUCGAUGCAACGCGAAGAACCUUACCUACUCUUGACAUCCAGAGAACUUAGCAGAGAUGCUUUGGUGCCUUCGGGAACUCUGAGACAGGUGCUGCAUGGCUGUCGUCAGCUCGUGUUGUGAAAUGUUGGGUUAAGUCCCGCAACGAGCGCAACCCUUAUCCUUUGUUGCCAGCGAUUCGGUCGGGAACUCAAAGGAGACUGCCAGUGAUAAACUGGAGGAAGGUGGGGAUGACGUCAAGUCAUCAUGGCCCUUACGAGUAGGGCUACACACGUGCUACAAUGGCAUAUACAAAGAGAAGCGACCUCGCGAGAGCAAGCGGACCUCAUAAAGUAUGUCGUAGUCCGGAUUGGAGUCUGCAACUCGACUCCAUGAAGUCGGAAUCGCUAGUAAUCGUAGAUCAGAAUGCUACGGUGAAUACGUUCCCGGGCCUUGUACACACCGCCCGUCACACCAUGGGAGUGGGUUGCAAAAGAAGUAGGUAGCUUAACCUUCGGGAGGGCGCUUACCACUUUGUGAUUCAUGACUGGGGUGAAGUCGUAACAAGGUAACCGUAGGGGAACCUGCGGUUGGAUCACCUCCUUACCUUAAAGAA